rnacentral:rRNA from 1 species
UACGGAGGGGGCUAGCGUUGUCCGAAGUUACUGGGCGUAAAGCGCGCGUAGGCGGGUUGGUAAGUCCGCUGUGAAAGCCCGGAGCUUAACUCCGGAGGGUCGGUGGAUACUGCCAGUCUUGAAGGUGCUAGGGGGAGAUGGAAUUACCGGCGUAGCGGUGAAAUGCGUAGAUAUCGGUAGGAACACCAGUGGCGAAGGCGGUCUCCUGGGGCAUUCUUGACGCUGAGGCGCGAAAGCUGGGGGAGCAAACGGG